CACCCACUGCAGAACCUUUGUGAUGAUACUUUAUCCCUAUAUCUGGAAUGUAUAGGAAUGUAGCCUGAAAAUACAUAUGUAUUUCUAUGUAUUUCUAUUUCAGUUGGGCUCAGAUUGCAUGUUAAAGUUGGAUUUAGAAGCAUAAAAAAAUUAUUUUACAAUAUCUGGGGCUUAUAAAUUUUAGUUUAAUAUUCAGAUACAUUUGCUGUUGAAUGUAAUUCAACUGUUUCCUUAUCUUUUUUCUUACUGUUAAAUGUUUAAUUAUUUCAGAUCUGUUAUCUUGCUGGUUCAGACUUCCCAACUCUCAAAUCAUCACUGAAGAAACCUUGCUGCAAAGCUUAACUCCAUCUAGUCCUCAUUUCCUGCCUCCACACCAUUUUCUGCCAAUGUUCAUGUUAUAUGGCAGGAAUGUCAGAAGAGGAUUCCUCCCCUACCUUUAUUUCUCCUGCACACGUCCUCAGAGCCACAAUAUGAGAAGCUUCUGGUACUCUGAUGUUCUGUCAGAUUUUAAUGGGAACCCUGGAAGUUCAUGGACACGAUGCCGUACAAUCUGA
rnacentral:lncRNA from 1 species